rnacentral:lncRNA from 1 species
UCUGCUUUAUCCAUGCUUCCGCCAUAAGUGGUUUUGGCUCUCCAUUAAACUCCGGUGGUCCCAGCUCCUUGAGCUGUUUAGCGGUGAUCGCCCGAAAGUUUCCCGUGUUUCCACCUACGUUUUGGAUAGGAGUCGCUCUCGCCUGCUGUUGCAUGAAUUGCAUAAAGCCUCUGAACUUUUGAUCAUUCAUCAUUUGGUCAGUGUUUUUGUUUGCAUGAGGAUUUUCGCCUUCCUGAUGCACAUUAUCCUGAUUAUUGAUAUGUGGUGAAUCAAUGGUCGCCUGUGCUCUAUUGCUAUUCUCAACAUUCUCAGAUGUCAUUUUCAGAUACUGCCAUAAAACAAAAGGUUAAUUGACAUGUUACAUAUUAUCCCUAUAUUCUGACUGACCAAUAAAAUAGCACAUAAACUUAGGUAGGUUAUACUAGCGAAGGAAUUCCCCGUCUCUCCCCUCCUAGUACUAUUCUCACAUCUUAGCCAGGGAUCAUAUCCCUAAGCUCUGAUACCA